CCUACGGGUGGCAGCAGUGGGGAAUAUUGGGCAAUGGACGCAAGUCUGACCCAGCAACGCCGCGUGAAGGAAGACGGCUUUCUGAUUUUAAACUUCUUUUAAGGGGGAGGAGCAGAAGACGGUACCCCUUGAAUAAGCCACGUCUAACUACGUGCCAGCAGCCGCGGUAAUACGUAGGUGGCAAGCGUUGUCCGGAUUUACUGGGUGUAAAGGGCGUGCAGCCGGAGCGAUAAGUCAGAUGUGAAAUCCACGGGCUCAACCCCUGCACUGCAUUUGAUACUGUCUCCCUUGAGUGUCGUAGCGGUAAGCGGAAUGUAUGGUGUAGCGGUGAAAUGCGUAGAGAUAAGACAGAACAACAGUGGCGAAGGCAGAUUACCGAACGACGACUGACGUUGAGGCGCGAAAGCGUGGGGAGCAAACAGGAUUAGAUACCCGAGUAGUC
rnacentral:rRNA from 1 species